CCUACGGGAGGCAGCAGUGGGGAAUUUUGGACAAUGGGGGCAACCCUGAUCCAGCAAUGCCGCGUGUGCGAAGAAGGCCUUCGGGUUGUAAAGCACUUUUGUCAGGGAAGAAAUCUUUCAGGCUAAUACCCUUGGAAGGAUGACGGUACCUGAAGAAUAAGCACCGGCUAACUACGUGCCAGCAGCCGCGGUAAUACGUAGGGUGCAAGCGUUAAUCGGAAUUACUGGGCGUAAAGCGUGCGCAGGCGGUUUGUUAAGACAGUCGUGAAAUCCCCGGGCUUAACCUGGGAACUGCGAUUGUGACUGGCAAGCUAGAGUACGGCAGAGGGGGGUGGAAUUCCUGGUGUAGCAGUGAAAUGCGUAGAGAUCAGGAGGAACACCGAUGGCGAAGGCAGCCCCCUGGGCUAGUACUGACGCUCAUGCACGAAAGCGUGGGGAGCAAACAGGAUUAGAUACCCUGGUAGUCCACGCCCUAAACGAUGUCAAUUAGUUGUUGGUUCUUUAUUGAAUCAGUAACGAAGCUAACGCGUGAAAUUGACCGCCUGGGGAGUACGGUCGCAAGAUUAAAACUCAAAGGAAUUGACGG
rnacentral:rRNA from 1 species